CUCAGACUGCGCAUGCCAAUAACGAUGAAGCAGGAAGUCAUCUUUCUCUGUGGAAGAACAACGAAGGAGGACGCAUGGAGGUUGUAUGCGCUCGCACCAAUAUUAUUAUUAUGAGCAACAACUUGUUGAGUUCCCCGUUCAGGCAACAGUGUUCAUGGACUUGAAGGGUGUUGAAGGAUCCAGACACGGAUGCAUCCUUUGUUGUACUGGAGUUUUUCUUUUCUUUUUUUUCCACUUCUGGCUAUGCCAGUAGUGUACUGAGAUUUGAUUGGCAGGCAGGCUACUGAAGACGCUAUAAGAGAUCUACACCAGGGGUGUCACUCAUUCCAUAGAGAGCCUAGUGUCUGUGGGUUUUGGGUUUUCCUUUCAGUUAAGGCUUAGACAACCAGGUGAUGGAGUGACCUUAACUCGUCAAUCAAGUACAGGGAGCAGCGAAAACCUGCAUACACUCUGCCCUUCGUGCAAUGAGUUUGACAUGCAAUCUACAUCUUGUUUUUGAGUUAAUGGGCCAGGAUGUAUAUUGAAGACUGAUGUAGAUAUUGCCCUGUGAUUGGGUUUGAUGAUCCAGUAUGUGGAAUAUGAAGACUUAAAUCUCAACCCUAUGGUGAGUUUGAGGGCUAAAUAGCCAAUUGGUUUCCUUCAGUCUUCUACUGGAGUUGUGAUGACUUCUCACUUUUCCUGUUUACUGAUCUGACUAAAUUGGGAUGCUGUGACUAACUGAACUGCCAAUAUUAGCAUUGAUCAUUAUAGGUAGACGCAGCGAUAUGGUAUAGAUGCAGCGAGUAAAGGGGAUAGUGGGUCAAUUCACAACUGAGUGUUGAAGCGUGAGCAUCUUGCUUAGCUCAAUAUGUGCGGUGCACCUCGUGGCAGGGGCAUUUUUGCAGGGUCUACCUUCAAUCAUUAAACCUGCAAUCCCUGACUAAGGUUUGAGACUCUUAUUUCAUCAUGCAGGAUUGUUAAGCCUGCAGUAGGGGAGUUAUUUCCUGGGUUGAGGUGUCAACUAAGAUUUUUCUACCCGUGUUGAUUCAUUUUAAAUGGAAUUGAUGCCCUUUCUGCUAAUUUACCCUGCUGAAAAGCAAUUCAUUUGAAUUACCAGCAUUGUAACUAAACCCACAAUGGUAGAAAGUUGUAGGUUGAUGGCUAAUCUCAUUAGACAAUGGUCAUUUAUUUAACUGAUUUCUUCUAUUCAUUGACAAUUCACAAGGUUUGGAAAGCGGUGCAUGAACUCCGUACAAGACUAUCACCCUAUUUUCAACAUUCUUGCCUGUCAAAAAAGCACAACCUUGGUCUGACUCCCCUGCUUAAGGUUAAAUGUUUGUUUUAUUCUGCCCUGUUAUGAAAUAAAAUAUUUUAUGGUACAUUAAUCGCAAUAUAUUUCUGCCUACAUUGAAAAAUAUGAAUGUUACAGUUCAUGUAUUAAGACCCUAAUCAAUGGAUUUCAAUUGACUGCAGGUACGUAGCCAUGGGUUGGCCUGGGAGGGAGUAGGCCCACCCAGAAUUAGUUUGAUCACCUGUCUGGGUGGCUUAUCGCAGGUGAGGCCGGUCGGAUGUACUGCCAAAUUCUCAUUCAAUACUCUGGUGGACAUUCCUGCAGUCAGCAUGCCAAUUCCACUCUCCCUCAACCUGAUAUGUGGCUACAGCAAUCAUGCUCUUUAAUCAGCUACUUGGUAUGACACACCUGUCAGGUGGAUGGAUUAUCUUGGCAGAGGAGAAAUGCUCAAUGUGACACGCUUUGUGCAUAUGGAACAUUUCUGGGAUCAAUACGUUGCGUUUAUUCUUCUGAGUAGCUCAUUUCACCAUUGAAAUUCAAUAUAGAAAAAUCCUUUAACUUAGCUGUGGUCCUAUUCCUCCUCUGUGAUGUAGCUGGCGGCCCCGGGUGCGUAGGCGUAGACAAAGUGCAGGAUGCUCUGUUGGAGCUGCUCCAGGAUAAGGUCUCUCCUGUGGAGAGCUUCCAGGUCACACAGGUCACAGGGAAAUGCUGCGUCGGGUGGGAUAACGAGCGCUGAGGCUCCUGUAGGUAGAGGGAGCAGUCCCCAGACCAACUAUCAGGGAAAAUCUAGACUGCAGUCCACACUGACUGCUAUUACUAGAGCAAAGAAGAUCAUGGCCAGGAUACUCUUGCCUGUAGCUAUACCUGCAUGUGACUGAUAAAUGUGAUUUGACUAUAGCUGACCCCUGUAGAAAUCCCCACUCACUGACAUUAAAGCAAGACCUAGGCAUGGCUGCAGGAUUCUUCACCAUGCUCUGCUGAUGUAUUUUUCUCCCCAUAUACAGGAGUAUUAAAGACUGCACUAGUUUGGGGGGGCAGGGGCUGCAGCACGGCUAUGGACCUAGGGGUGUGGCACCCUAGACAAAAGAAAGGUUGGACUGCGACAUCACUAGAAAUGGUGCCGAGUCUGGAGGGGUUUGUUCUUGGACUGUUAAUUAGCCACGAUGUGUGAUUUCAACAUGGCAGCAAAUGGGAUCUAUGAGUUUGGUUGCUGACUUGGCCUUCGGUCCUGUUGUGUCAUACCAUGUCUGAGAGUGAUGGCGUUUUCACACAGCAGCACAGCGAUCACUGCAUCCUCCUCCAGCACUGUGCUUCUCAGACACAGCUUACUGUGGGCCUCAGCCAGGGAGAUCCUGGAAGAAACAUGCCAAUAAAGACCAUUAGAAGUAAACAAAUGUCUAGUUUUUAGCUAAGCAGAAUUUACUGUGAGUAAUGGUACAGUUACUAACUGGCAAUGAAAUGCACCAUGUAGGAACAGACCAUCAGAUCUGGAAAAACCUGUCUUAGUGAUAAGCCAUUUGUAUAUCUAUAUAGUGCCACUGAUGAAAUUGGGCAAAAAUAAACCCAAUCUGAUGCCUACACAAAAAAGUCUAGACUCGGGCACCCAUCUAUUGGUUCUGUAAAAAAAAAAAAAAAAAUCACCUUUAUUUAACCAGGUGAACAAGUUCUCAUUUACAAUUGCGACCUGGCCAAGAUAAAGCAAAGCAGUUCGACAGAGUUACACAUGGAGUAAAAGUCAAUAAUACAGUAUAAACAAGUCUAUAUACGAUGUGAGAAGGCAAAAAAAGGCCAUGGUGGCAAAGAAAAUACAAUAUAGCAAGUAAAACACUGGAAUGGUAGAUUUGCAAUGGAAGAAUGUGCAAAGUAGAAAUAAAAAUAAUGGGGUGCAAAGGAGCAAAAUAAAUUAAAUACAGUAGGGAAAGAGGUAGUUGUUUGGGCUAAAUUAUAGAUGGGCUAUGUACAGGUGCAGUAAUCUGUGAGCUGCUCUGACAGUUGGUGCUUAAAGCUAGUGAGGGACAUAAGUGUUUCCAGUUUCAGAGAUUUUUGUAGUUCGUUCCAGUGAUUGGCAGCAGAGAACUGGAAGGAGAGGCAGCCAAAGAAAGAAUUUGUUUUGGGGGUGACUAGAGAGAUAUACCUGCUGGAGCGUGUGCUACAGGUGGGAGAUGCUAUGGUGACCAGCGAGCUGAGAUAAGGGGGGACUUUACCUAGCAGGGUCUUCUAGAUGACAAAUGAAUGAUUGCGCUCCACCUUGUGGAGAAAUAUGACAUUACAGAGAACACUUCUAAAGCUGCAGGUGCCCUGAGAAUUUGAAGGGCUUUUUCUCUUAUACAUAGUUAAAUCGGAUUUGACAAAUGCCCAAGUUAAACACUAAAAUAAGUAAAAGGGUGAUGUGUAUAAAUAUUAAACAUGGUAUUUUUUUUAUGAAUAACCCUCAGCGUGUGGUAGGCCCUUACAGUAGCUUGAUGGAGGCCACAGACACCUUUGCACCAUGGCCCGAGUCUGAGCGGACCCUUCUGCUGGCCAUGUAAUAGCCAUGGAUCAUCAUCUCUGCCCCAGGGCUCAGCUCUGUCUGGAUCCUCUGGGUGUGGGCCAGAAGCUAGGGGAAGGAAGAGAGCACAAUGGUCCCCGAGCAUGCAGACGCCCCCAGUGGCCAGCAGGGCGGAGCCAGCGUGGAUGUUAGCCGUUCCCGCUCCAUGUUCAUCACGAGAAAGAGAGGCAAACAUCUCCCCUGUUGCAGGGUGUCUCACCCCACGGCCAGCCAGACCCAGGCUGUACGUCAUCAGCCUAAGACGGGGGUAACGGAGUCUGGCUCUCAACUAUUUAUUUAUGCUGUUGACUUGAAUAUAGGCAUAGUAUAAUUUUACUGUAGUAAUGUUAUUGUUUUGGCCAUUGUAUUGUGCUUCCUAAGAACAUGAUUGAUUGACUGAUUCAGA